GGGUCCCCUAGGUCGCGGGGCAGCCGGGGCGGAAGGGGCUUGUUCAUUAUUUUGAGAGUUUGUUGUGAACGUCAUAACCUUUCGUCCUUAAAUAUUGCCGAUACUUGACCUACGCAAGAGACAAUGUCAUGUGAUUCAGCCUAAUAUCUCAGAGGAUGCAGCAUUCAAGGUUCUAUCUUGGAAGCAGAGACUGUGCCCUCACCAGAUGCUGAACCUGCUGAGCACCCUGAUCUUCCACUUCACCUUCAUCAGAACUGGACGCGCAUGAAAUUUGGUGCCGUGACUCGGAUCGGCGGACCUCCCUUAGGAGAUCAAUCCCCUGUCCUCCUGCUCUUUGCUCCAUGAGAAAGAUCCACCUACGACCUAAGGUCCUCAGACCAACCAGCCCAAGAAACAUCUCACCAAUUUCAAAUCCGAAAUCCUUCAUCUAAUCUGGCAAACACAUGUGGCAGGUUUUUCUCACCGCAUAAAAUAUGUUAUAGAGUAGUCCAUCUAUUUCUCUUCCAUGGAAGAGUUCAUCUGGUAGAUUGGACUACCACUUUUCCUUCAGGUCCCGAGUUCUCAUCCCGCAUCCAGGAAGAAUGAGGUUAUGUGGACACCUGGAGGGUGAGCGAGGCUGAGAAAAGCUUUAUUGGGCAACCAGACAGCUCUCAGAAGAGAGGUGACCUGAAGCAGCCAUAAUUUUAGCUUGUCUAAACUGCUUACCUGGUGUGAUGACCAAGAGCUUAAUCUCUGAAAGGAUGAGAGACGUUGAGCUCCAAACUCAGACUAAGAAACUAUAAGAAAUAUGCUUCAAUGAAGAAGCUGUUCAAAAAUGAGUAAGAUUGUUUCCUUGAGGCAAGAAAGAAAUGCAGAAGUCUUGACAAACAAAAGAAGAGAUUGCCUUAGGGAAGGGGACUACAGUGAACACUGAGAACUUCUUCCCACGCUAAGACAAUCUUUACAGAGCAAGACUCCGUCUCAAAAAAAAAAAAAAAA
rnacentral:lncRNA from 1 species